UCUUUGUUCUGGUUAAAAGCCUGGCAGCUGAGUUCUGGACAGUCUGGAGUUGAUCAAUAGAUUUUUGGGUUAAAUAGGUGAAAAGGCUGUUGCAAUAAUCCAGGUUAUCACAUCCAGCCAGCAUAGAAAAAUAUAUUGAGAGAACAAACAUGGGAGGCAGGAAUUGGCAUCAUCAGUGUUACAUAUCGUUAGUAUGACUAGUCCUUUUAAUAGCAAAGGAAAAGCUACCCUGUGGGAUCUCUCAGAGGCCUUAGAGGAGAUAGCCGUUGGAGGGGAACAGUUUUCUUGAAGGCCCACUCUCAUUCAAUAGAUGCAAUUUGCCACACAUAGCUUAGUAUUAACCUAUGUUAGUCAGUGUUAAAUAGACAUGAAAGUACAAGAGAUGAAAUGGUCAACCUUAAUGUGUUUGUCAGACAUGGCUGACAGGGUCACCUCACCCACGUCCUCCUGUUUGUUGUCAGGAAUGAUUUCCACUGGGGUUGCAGCUGAAAAUACUGUAAGAAAAGGAGUUAUUAACACAAUAUUACAUUUAUACGUCUUUCAGCCAAGGUGCUUUAGGGAGUAGAUGUUAAUUCAUUAACAGUAAGCAACGUGUCACUUUUAGAAAUGUAGCCCAUAUGUGGGCUAUGAUUAAAUUAACCUAAUUGUUUUCCCACAUUAAAAGCCUCAGGCACUGAAUAAGUGGUCUUUUAAGAAAUUCUUCUCACUUAAAAAAUCUGAUUAAUUUAUGUAACACACUCCAAAGUGCUCAAACAUUGUUCAAUGAAAAAUCCAUUCAAGCCAUAACAACUGUUCAAAAAGUGGUCGAAAGACUAUCUCAACAUUUACUAAAAUAACUCACCCCCCUACAUCCAGAUAACAAAGGGUGAACCGGUACUAGUCUCUAUAAUAUAAGAUACUAACCCAAAAUAAACACAUUCAUAUUUUUAAUUCAAAGUGCCUUAAUAGGCAUAUACCAAACUAUAUGCUCAUAAUAUUUAGCAUCUCAAUCACAAGUAACUGGCUUUGUUGGCUGCCACAGUGUUAGAUUGAGAAGUCUCUUUGAACACCUCCUAUCCAGCCACUAUCAAUGUGCAAUCUUCCUAAUUGCCAGUACCAAGCCGGGCUCUCCAGUUGCUGGUUCCAAGCUCAGCUUUCCAGUUGCUGGUACCAAGCCCAGAAAGGGCUUGAAAAUAUCUUUAGGCACUCUUAAUGGCCCCCCAGGUUCCUAGCAGUCCAACAGUGUCCACUGGGUCCAUACUGGCUGGUCCGUACUGUCAGGAUUGGUGCUGUGAGCUCAGGCCAGUUACUGGUUUUGGAACCUAAAUGCAGGACACAAUGGCAGAACAGGCCUCUGGUAAGUCCACUGGGUCUGACAGCUGCCCUGAACUGCAGUCCACAAAGGCUAUUUACCCAGAAGGCAAUCUUCGCUGGAACUCCUCCAUUGGGCCAGCGGUAGCAUGCAGCACCAAUCAGUGACAACGUUGCAGGGGAACCCAGAAACUAGGCGGGACUUUCCUUUACUGCACAGCCAAUCCGCAGCAUGGGAUUGCACAGCCUGCUUAGCAUAUCAGAUGGAACAUAUGCACGGUGAAAUUACAGAUGGGUGCCAAAGGCCAUAACAAUUAGAAAAGAAAGUAACCAAACUUAACCCUGUGAUGCACAAACUAUGCAAACCCCUUCUAAUGCACAAGAUUGUGCAAAAAUGACCUGUAUGCAUUUAUGCAUCUAUGUAAUUUCAUGAACGGUUUCUUUGCUCUAUCUUACUAAAUUACUUUAUUCAAUCAUUUAAUAGUUUAAGUAGUCAUUCAAUAUCUUGUAUUUAAUAACCACUUAUUACCACUUUGCUUUGGUGUGCUGAAUUUACAGCACAAGAAAAAACGUGUGUCAUUGCGAAACAGCAUGCAGCACAAUAAUCGCUUUAUUUUCAUUAACUUAAUUUUUGGAAGCCAAAAUCAAAAUUGUGAUUAAAAUUUGACUAAUUGCACAGUACUAUUCAGAAGCUUGUACUUCUUAGAAAUGUUCUGGAUCAAUGAAAUACCAGGGAUGUUGAUUAAUUGAUAGUCGUUUAUCUGCAAGUCAUGUUGGAAACAACAACAGUGUUUUUCAUAGAAGGGUUCGUUUUAGCUGUCUGUUUGCUUUGUUUGAUGAAAACAAGAUCAAACAUACAGACGUUAAACUCAAUACUUAUUUUCUCAUGGUGAAUCAUAAAUAAAAACACAUGUUUGGACAAAUAUAAACUUCAAACUUGGAAACUGUAA